CCAAAGUUUAGAAAAAUGGAAGAAUGGAUAUGUGGGGAAGAAUGGGGUGGGAAGGCGUAUUUAUACAAUUUUGGAACCAUCGAAUUCAUGCCAAGUGUCAAAAUCUGGUGAAAAGAGAGGAGAAAAAGAUGUUUGGCACAAAAAAUGAAGAAAAAGAUAAUCCUACACCGAUGGCAGCGGCACGCCACCCAAGGUGAAGGCGGUGCACUGCAGGCGCACAGGCCUCAUGCUGCGCGUGCAGGGCCAAGGCGCACUGGGCACCGCAUGCGCAGGCCCCAAGCGUGCAAGGCCUAUCCGCGAAGGCCUGCUGUGCAGAUGGUGCGCGCACAGUGUGCGGCACCUAUCCGCGCGCGAGGUGAUGUGUAGACAGCUCGCCUCGGUGCACCAAGACGCUCGCAGGGCCAAUCCCCGUGCCAUACACGCAGAUGGGACAUACGCGUUGUGCGCACGUCCU
rnacentral:lncRNA from 1 species